rnacentral:rRNA from 1 species
AAAACUUUCAACAACGGAUCUCUUGGUUCUGGCAUCGAUGAAGAACGCAGCGAAAUGCGAUAAGUAAUGUGAAUUGCAGAAUUCAGUGAAUCAUCGAAUCUUUGAACGCACAUUGCGCCCGCCAGUAUUCUGGCGGGCAUGCCUGUUCGAGCGUCAUUUCAACCCUCAAGCCCCUGCUGUGGACUUGGUGUUGGGGACCGGCGAUGGACAAACGUCCUCCGCCGCCCCCUAAAUGACUUGGCGGCCUCGUCGCGGCCCUCCUCUGCGUAGUAGCAUACACCUCGCAACAGGAGCCCGGCGAAUGGCCACUGCCGUAAAACCCCCAACUUUUUCAGAGUUGACCUCGAAUCAGGUAGGAAUACCCGCUGAACUUAAGCAUAUCAAUAAGCGGAGGAAAAGAAACCAACAGGGAUUGCCCCAGUAACGGCGAGUGAAGCGGCAACAGCUCAAAUUUGAAAUCUGGCCCCUAGGGUCCGAGUUGUAAUUUGCAGAGGAUGCUUUUGGCGAGGUGCCUUCCGAGUUCCCUGGAACGGGACGCCAUAGAGGGUGAGAGCCCCGUCUGGUUGGAUACCGAGCCUCUGUAAAGCUCCUUCGACGAGUCGAGUAGUUUGGGAAUGCUGCUCUAAAUGGGAGGUAUAUGUCUUCUAAAGCUAAAUAUUGGCCAGAGACCGAUAGCGCACAAGUAGAGUGAUCGAAAGAUGAAAAGCACUUUGAAAAGAGGGUUAAAUAGUACGUGAAAUUGUUGAAAGGGAAGCGCUCAUGACCAGACUUGGGCCCGGUGAAUCAACCAGCGUUCUCGCUGGUGCACUUUGCCGGGCUCAGGCCAGCAUCAGUUUGCCCCGGGGGAUAAAGGCUUUGGGAAUGUGGCUCCUCCGGGAGUGUUAUAGCCCAUUGCACAAUACCCUGGGGCGGACUGAGGUUCGCGCAUUCGCAAGGAUGCUGGCGUAAUGGUCAUCAGCGACCCGUCUUGAAACACGGACC